AACGCACAUUGCGCCCCUUGGUAUUCCGAGGGGCAUGCCUGUUCGAGCGUCAUUACAACCCUCAAGCACUGCUUGGUGUUGGGCCCCGCUGGCAGCGGCGGGCCUUAAAAUCAGUGGCGGUGCCGUCGGGCCCUGAGCGUAGUACACCUCCUCGCUACAGGGACCCGGUGGGCGCUGGCCAUCAACCCCCCCACUCUCUAAGUUUGACCUCGGAUCAGGUAGGGAUACCCGCUGAACUUAA
rnacentral:misc_RNA from 1 species